rnacentral:rRNA from 1 species
AAAUACUGAAAUUUAAUGUUGACAAGCAAUUGAAGCUUUUAAAAAGUAACAAUGUACCUUUUGCAUAAUGGAUCAACGAGUUUAUUUUAGUGGCGAGCUUAAACAGUGAAUUAAUGUGUAGGCGAAAAGAAAUUAAGUUUUAAAAGGCUUUUAAGUCUCUAAAAUAAGACCCGAAACUAAAUGAUCUAACCAUGAUCAGGCUGAAUUUAUAGCGGUAACGCUUAUUGGAGGGCUGAACCCUUACAUGUGGAAAAAUGUUGGGAUGAAUUGUGGUUAGGGGUGAAAGGCCAAUCAAAUUUAGAGAUAGCUGGUUUUCUGCGAAAUCUAUUUAAGUAGAGCGUUUAAAAACUUUAUUUUGGGGUAGAGCACUCGAUAAAUGAUGGCGGUGAAAGGCCAAUCAAA